rnacentral:rRNA from 1 species
CAUAGCGACUAUCGUGGCAUAUCAAUAAGCGGAGGAAAAGAAACUAACAAGGAUUCCCUUAGUAACGGCGAGUGAAGCGGGAAGAGCUCAAAUUUGAAAUCUUCAAGGUUUUCACCUUGACGAAUUGUAGUUUAAAGAAGUGUUUUCUGUUGGAGUUUUGGUAAAAGUUCUUUGGAAUAGGACAUCAUAGAGGGUGAGAAUCCCGUAUUUGACCACUAUUUCCAGCUGUGUGAUACACUUUCAAAGAGUCGGAUUGUUUGGGAAUGCAGUCCAAAAUGGGUGGUAAAUUUCAUCUAAAGCUAAAUAUUGGCGAGAGACCGAUAGCGAACAAGUACCGUGAGGGAAAGAUGAAAAGAACUUUGAAAAGAGAGUUAAACAGUACGUGAAAUUGUCAAAAGGGAAGCGUUUGACACCAGUGUUGUUUUCUCGAAAAUCAAUUAAAAAUGAUGGGAUUUUGUGUUGUAUUGACUUUAUCAGCUUUCUGCACUUUUUCUUAUCUUUUUUAAUGCACUUUUCGUUUAACAAGUCAACAUCAAUUUCUUUUGUUGUAAAAGAGUCAUUGGAAGGUGGCUUUUUCUUCGGAAAAAGUGUUUAUAGCCUUUGGCUUCUGCAAUCGGAGAGAUUGAGGUCUGCAGCGUAGAUCCUUCGGGGUUAGAUACAUUUGUGCUAAGCUUAUAGUUCUUUAUAGACAACUUGUUGACUAUAGUCUAGUCCUUGUAGCUUACUCGCUUAUGCUAUUCUACCUACGCUUAGGAUGUUGAUAUGCAUGACUGAUAU